rnacentral:rRNA from 1 species
CCUACGGUGUGCAGCAGUGGGGAAUAUUUCACAAUGGGGGGAACCCUGAUGCAGCAACGCCGCGUGGGUGAAGAAGUACUCCGGUAUGUAAAGCACUGUCAGCAGGGAAGAAAAUGACGGUACUUGACCAAGAAGCCCCGGCUAAAUACGUGCCAGCAGCCGCAGGAAUACGUAGGGGGCAAGCGUUAUCCGGAUUUCCUGGGUGUAAAGGGAGAGUAGACGGCAAGGCGAGUCUGGAGUGAAAGCCCGUGGCCCAACCACGGGACUGCUUUUGAUACUGUGUUGCUGGAGUGUCGGAGGGGUAAGCGGAAUUCCUAGUGUAGCGGUGAAAUGCGUAGAUAUUAGGAGGAACACCGGUGGCGAAGGCGGCUUACUGGACUGUAACUGACGUUGAGGCUCGAAGGCGUGGGGAGCAAACAGGAUUAGAUACCCGGGUAGUC